UGGUUAUAUGACCGCUUCUGGUAGA
rnacentral:piRNA from 1 species